ACGGCCUUGGGACAGUCGGGCGUCAGCACCCGUCCGUUCUCCCCAACGCUGCCCGUGAUGGACAGACGGGCCUUGUUCCUCAUGGCUUCAGUAAAUGUGAGCUGGGGACAAAGAGACGAGGACAGGUUCAGCUUCAUAAAGAAGGGCCCCGAUCUUGUCUAUAUCCACUAUAUCUUUGUGGAACCAAACUUGCCACUUGUGCACAGAAUCAACCCUUGAAGUACAGCGAACACCCACCCCGCCCACAAGUAAAGGUGACGCGUCUGAGCUGUGACUCCUGCCCUCUCCCCGUCAUUUAUCUCCCUUCAUCAAAUAAAGCAGACAUCCUCACAGGGGUCUUCAACUGA